UACGAAGGGGGCUAGCGUUGCUCGGAAUCACUGGGCGUAAAGCGCACGUAGGCGGCUUUCUAAGUCAGGGGUGAAAUCCUGGAGCUCAACUCCAGGACUGCCUUUGAUACUGGGAAGCUCGAGUCCGGAAGAGGUGAGUGGAACUCCGAGUGUAGAGGUGAAAUUCGUAGAUAUUCGGAAGAACACCAGUGGCGAAGGCGGCUCACUGGUCCGGUACUGACGCUGAGGUGCGAAAGCGUGGGGAGCAAACAGG
rnacentral:rRNA from 1 species